CGUGGCACUUCUAGAAUCUAAUUCUGGCUUCCAGCAGCAAGUCAGUAGCUGGAGAAGUUGAAAGUAGAAGUGCAUUACAAAAAAAAAAAUGAAGAAAGAAGAGAACGUGCUGCUGGAGAAAUUGAAAGUAGAAGUGCAUUACAAAAUACAUGAAUAAAGAAGAGAAUGUGUUGAAUUUUAUCCAGACAAGUGGAGAACGGAACUAUGACACAAGAAGCAUUUAAAAAAAAGAGGAUUUAUUGGUAAGAUAAAUUGAAAGUAGAAGUGCAUUACAAAAAACAUGAAGAAAGAAGAGAAUGUGUUGGUGAGAUAAUUUUAUCCAGACAAGUGGAGAACGGAACUAUGACACAAGAAGCAUUUAAAAAAAAAAGAGGAUUUAUUGCUGGAGAAAUUGAAAGUAGAAGUGCAUUACAAAAUACAUGAAGAAAGAAGAGAAUGUGUUGAAUUUUAGCCAGACAAGUGGAGAACGGAACUAUGACACAAGAAGCAUUUAAAAAAAAGAGGAUUUAUUGCUGGAGAAAUUGAAAGUAGAAGUGCAUUACAAAAAACAUGAAGAAAGAAGAGAAUGUGUUGAAUUUUAGCCAGACAAGUGGAGAACAGAACUAUGACACAAGAAGCAUUUAAAAAGGGGGGAUUUAUUGCUGGAGAAAUUGAAAGUAGAAGUGCAUUACAAAAUACAUGAAGAAAGAAGAGAAUGUGUUGAAUUUUAGCCAGACAAGUGGAGAACAGAACUAUGACACAAGAAGCAUUUUAAAAAUGGGGAUUUAUUGCUGGAGAAAUUGAAAGUAGAAGUGCAUUACAAAAUACAUGAAGAAAGAAGAGAAUGUGUUGAAUUUUAGCCAGACAAGUGGAGAACGGAACUAUGACACAAGAAGCAUUUUAAAAAAGGGGAUUUAUUGGUAAGAUGUAAACAACUUAAAUAGCUCAUGUAAUAUAUUGGUACAUAAAACUACUAUUAAUGAAACAUUGUAUAACUACUGUGUAAAUUGUGAAAAUGUUGAAAAAGAGGGUACAGAUUAAAUUUCCUGAAAAUGCCAUCCAUUUCCUGAUUUUCCAGUGUGCUUUUCAUUCAAUAA